CAGGGAUCGCAUUCCUGGGCAGGGAUCCCGGGGGCAGCGCCGGGCUGAGCCACCGCCCCGCGCGUGACCGGGCGUUCCGGGAGCAGCAUCCCCGUGGGAAGGAGGGAGGGAGGGAAGGAGGGAGCCGGGCUUGGUGAGUCAACACUGCAGAGCUGCUGCGAGAGGAGGGGGAGGCAGAGCCAGGCCGGCUGGGAAGGACGGAUUUGCCGAGCCCGCGACAAAAAUGGUUUGAGUAAUUAUCGACGAUGUAAAGGCAGAGGUAUCAGCACCCCCUGAAGCAACAGCCUCCCUUCCCAGGAACAUCAAACCCAUCCAGUGCAGGUCCUGACAGUAAAAGCCCUCAAGGUCCUCCCAUGAAGGCCACAAGAUUUCUUCCCACUGAUUUCUCCAGGGAAUCCAUUUGCUGGGAAUCUUGCAGCGCAGGGAUUGGAAAAUAUCAGCGAAUCCCUCCUGUAUCUGCUCUCAACACAGAAGCACAACGAUAGAAAACAUCUUAAAUGGUCUCCUGUUACCAGAAUUUUCUAGCUGGCAGACAAAAAAAGAAGAUUUCCAAUAUGUAUCAGGUGCUCCUGGCACUUCUGGGCCAUGGAAUACCAGGAGAAGAGCUCGAGCCAUUGCAUCCCAGCAGCAAAUUGGAAUUUCAUCCUGUGAAACCAAACUGUGCUCCUGAUGAUAUCGGUAUAAAAUCAGACAGUUUCCAUGAAGGUCAAAUCAGUCCCUGAGCUGGAGUGAGGAGUCUGGGAGCUCAGGGCUGUGGAAAUCCCAGGAUGUUUUGUACGCCCCCUUCCCCCAUGCCCAGUCUGAACAGACAACCAGCUCCCCCAGAGCAGAGGCUGCAGGAGCACAGCAGGAGCCCCCCAACCCCUGCAGUGUCACAGAGCCAUGACAGCAGAAUCACAAACCCCACACUCGAGGGGGAGACUCUGCCCGACCCCCUCCUGUGACAGCUGAGCCAGAAGUAAAGUUGGAUCAAAAGCA